AUAAUACUCCCUCCGUCCAACAAAAGAUGUCUCAACUUUGACUAAAUUUGAAUGCAUCUAUACACUAAAUCACAUCUAGAUACAUCCAAAUUUUGACAAACUUGAGACAUCUUUUGUUGGACAGAAGAAGUACCAU
rnacentral:pre_miRNA from 1 species